rnacentral:rRNA from 1 species
UUUUACAAUGGAGAGUUUGAUCCUGGCUCAGGAUGAACGCUAGCGGCAGGCCUAAUACAUGCAAGUCGGACGGGAUUCAGGGAGUAGCUUGCUACGAGCUGAUGAGAGUGGCGCACGGGUGCGUAACGCGUGAGCAACCUACCCAUAUCAGGGGGAUAGCCUCUCGAAAGAGAGAUUAACACCGCAUAA